GCUUAGAUAUUUUAAUUUUAAAAUGUUGUUUUGUGGGAUCGAUGAUAUGAUUUAUUCAUUCUAGGCU
rnacentral:tRNA from 1 species